rnacentral:rRNA from 1 species
AUUCACCUGUUUAUCAAAAACAUGUCUUUUUGAAUUUAAUUUAAAGUCUAACCUGCCCACUGAAAUUUUAAAGGGCCGCAGUAUUUUGACUGUGCGAAGGUAGCAUAAUCAAUAGUCUUUUAAUUGAAGGCUUGUAUGAAUGGUUGAAUGAGAUAUAUACUGUCUUUUUUAAAUUUUUAUAGAAUUUUAUUUUUUAAUUAAAAAGUUAAAAUAUAAUUAAAGGACGAGAAGACCCUAUAGAUCUUUAUUUUUUUUUAUUAUAAAUUAAAAAGAAUAAUAAAAUUUAUAAUUUUAUAAAAAAUUUUACUGGGGUGGUAUUAAAAUUUAAUUAACUUUUAUAGUUUAUUAACAUUAAUAUAUGGUUUAUUGAUCCAAUUUUAUUGAUUAAAAAUUUAAGUUACCUUAGGGAUAACAGCGUAAUUUUUUUUUAGAGUUCAUAUCGACAAAAAAGAUUGCGACCUCGAUGUUGGAUUAAGAGUUAUUUUUAGGUGUAGAAGUUUAAAGUUUAGGUCUGUUCGACCUUUAAAUUCUUACAUGAUCUGAGUUCAAACCGGCGUAAGCCAGGUUGGUUUCUAUCCUUAAUAAAAUUAUUAUAUUAUAGUACGAAAGGACCUAAUAUAAGAAAUAUAAAUUUUAAAUUUAUGAAUAAUAUUAAUUUUUAGUAAAAA